rnacentral:rRNA from 1 species
AUUGAACGCUAGCGGGAGGCCUUACACAUGCAAGUCGAACGGAGUGGCGAACGGGUGAGUAAUGCAUCGGAACGUGCCCAGUAGCGGGGGAUAACUACGCGAAAGGGUAGCUAAUACCGCAUACUAUCGGAGGGGCCGAGGUCGGAUUAGCUAGUUGGUGGGGUAAAGGCUCACCAAGGCGACGAUCCGUAGCUGGUUUGAGAGGACGAUCAGCCACACUGGGACUGAGACACGGCCCAGACUCCUACGGGAGGCAGCAGUGGGGAAUUUUGGACAAUGGGCGAAACCCUGAUCCAGCCAUCCCGCGUGUGCGAUGAAGGUCUUCGGAUUGUAAAGCACUUUAAGCUGGGAGGCGUUACCUGCAGAAUAAGCACCGGCUAACUACGUGCCAGCAGCCGCGGUAAUAC